rnacentral:rRNA from 1 species
AAAGGUGAAAUUGAUUAUAUUAUUUAUAAAUGUAAACAGGAAAAAAGGCUAUUAAGUCUUGAAUAUAAACUAGGAUUAGAUACCCUAUUAUAUAAGGUUUUAAAGGUAUACUAGAUUAGUAGUAGUUAUUUACUUGAAAUUUAAAGAAUUUGGCGGUAAUUUAGUCUUAUUAGAGGAACCUGUUUUUUAAUCGAAACACCACGUAAUAUCUUGCUUUAGUUUGUAUACCAUCAUUAUUAGAUAAUUUUAAAAGAAGAAAUUAUUAAGAUUAAUUAAUUAAAAAAAUUAGAUCAAGGUGCAGCUGAUAAGGAAGUUAAAAUGGGUUACAAUAAAAUUUAUUUAUUACGAAUAUAAUUAGUUAAGAAGGAGGAUUUAAUUGUAUAUAAGUUUAAUAAGCUGUAAUGAUAAAAGCUCUAAAUUAUGUACAUAUCGCCCGUCGCUUUC